rnacentral:rRNA from 1 species
AGUUUGAGCUAAAUAUAAUAUAAAUAUUAGCUUAUCUAUAAAGGGUGUAGUAAUACCUUUUUAAUAAUUAUAUUUAGGGGUGAUAGGCCUAUCAAAAACUAAGAUAUCUUGAAUCUAAAUAAAAGUAUGUAGUACUAAUUUCAACACGACUAUAAAGUGAUUAGGCUUUAUAGAACAUAUUAAUUCUUUAUAAAAAUUAAUUAAUCAUAAUUUAAUAAUUAAAUAUUUUAAUAUAUUAAUAUUUAUAUAUUGUAAUUAUAUUAAAGUAUUUAGAUAGUUUUAAAAAGUCUUAUAUAAAUUAUAUAAUGUUUAUAUAAGUAUUUAAAGUUUAUAUGUUUACAUAAUGAACUCGGCAAUAAUGCUUUUCAACUGUUUAUCAAAAACAUAACUAUAUGAAUAAAUAUAUAUAGCAAUUUCUGCUCAAUGAUUUAGAUUAAAUAGCCGCAGUAUUCUGACUGUGCAAAGGUAGCAUAAUCAAUUGACUUAUAAUUGAAGUCUAGAAUGAAUGAAAUUAAUGGAAAGCCACUAUAUUUUUUGUAAAUAUACAUAAAUUAUUUAUGAAGUGAAAAUACUUCUAUAAAAAUAAUAGACGAGAAGACCCUAGAAAUUUUUAGAAAUUUAAAUUUUUUUUUAAAAAUUUUUUUGUUGGGGCGACAAAGAAGCAAUCAUAACCUUCUUAUUAACAACUUGCACUUUUUUUGUUGUAUGAAAAAAUUACUCUAGGGAUAACAGCAUAAUAUUUAAAAGUUUAUGACCUCGAUGUUGGACUAGGAAAUAAUAACUUAAAAGGUUUUUUAUAUUGCUCUGUUCGAGCAUUAACUCCUACAUGAUC